UUAUAGGGUAUUGCCUUUUUUUCAUUUUUGCAUUCCAAAUAUUUCACAUAAAUUUCCAAAAGUCACUAGGUACAUUUAGUCAACAUUGUUGUUGAUUAACACUUUUAAACUUUUAGAACACUUAAAAUUUUAAAACUGUUUGAAUUAGUUUAAAGGUGAAUUUUCAGAUGAGAUAAUUUUUUUAUCAGUAAAAAAUUAAUUAAAUUAAAAAGGAAACAACUUUAUCCAAAAAAAACUUCUAUUUUUUCACCUCCUACGUUAACUAGCACUAUAUCAUUUACAUUCAAAACUUGUGCAACCUUGUAUACCAAAAACAGAGAAGUGGCUUCUAAAAAACUACCCGACCAGUGCCUACAUCUCUGUCAUGCCCCAGUGCUUUCCACUUCAUGAGUCCAAAACACCCACUUGAAUCCUUCAUUCCUUGACCAAUAAACCGACAACUUAGGGUACCUACGAACCAAAAUGUUGAGUUGUCCCUAUCACAAGCUCCAUUCUAAUUUCAUUGAUCCUUGUUACGGUUUUGCUCCAAUCAAAGGGUAGAACUCUCAACACACACCAGUGCCAGCAGUGGAAAAUUGGUAGGGGUUUCACACGAGAUAAUUGGUAGGGGUAAAAGUGUAUGGGAUGUGGAAAAUUAAUCCAGUGUAGGAUAUUUUUCACAUUUCACCGAUUGAUUAAUAAAACAGAAAACACAGAUGAAGAAAUUACACUCUAUUUUGAUUAAUGCCAUAAUUGAAAAAAAUUAUAAAGAGAUUCAUCAUUUUAAAUUAGAAACUCAAUAGAAAAAAUAUUUAGAAUGAAAUUACUCAAAGUCUAAUUCAAUCUUAUAAAACUUACUUAAAAUCAUUUAGAGUUUAUUCUAACAAUAAACUAAUUUAAAAACCAAUAAUUCUUUUAGUCUUUAAAAUGGUAUCUAAUUUAGUUAAUAUAUCAACUAAAGAUUAAAAUAUUUCUUAAUAUAUAAGUGAGUGUAAAUUUUAUUUUAUAAGAUUAAGUCAUGCUAAUUAAAGUCAAAUUUUUAGUAAAAAAAUUAAUUUAAAAAAAUGAUUCGAUUUUUAAAAUAAGUAAAUCCUGAAUAUAAAAAUCUACAAGAUUUCUCAUUAAAAUUACGAUAAAUUUAAAUUAUAUCUACGAAAAUAAAUUUAUUGGUCAUGAUCCUCUCUUUGAUAUGAUAUAACCUUUUUUGAUUUCAAAAUGUCAUAUGCAUUUUAAAAAGUCACCACUUAGGAUUUAAUCAAAAUUGACAUGUGCAAUGUGGAAUGAACAUGGUUAGAAUUCCAUCUCCUUCUACUUUAAUGAUUAAUUUUGUGAAUCCAUUGCACUAAGUUACUAUACGAGUUUAACACAUUCUGACAUGUCUAUAUUUUGACUCUGAAUUGGGUGAAUGUAGUGGUGAGUCAAGCCAGGCACCGAAUUUACUACUUAUUUUACUACAGUUCAUUGCAUACUUGUUCAGUGGAGGAAAGUACCCGGCUAAUUCUAAAGGAAAACAGAUUUAAGACCUUAAUGCAGUGAGAAGCACGAAGAAGAUGUUGAAGUGAUCUCCUUGGAAUAUAAUCUCUAACGUUUGGGUUGCAACCCAUUGGAAUCAAAGCUUUAUUAUUAUCUUUUUUUUAACAGUAAUAAAAAUUAAUAAAUAUAGACUACUUUCCAAGUCUUUUAUUGAGGAGAAAUUUGUGAGAAUUAGAAAAGAUGUGUGAGGAUAUGUAAGAUUUUUUGGGUUGAGGGAUGAUAAAGUGGAUUUGUGAGGAUGAUUUAUUGUAAGUUUAUAAAUUUAUCUUUGUUAUUAAAAAUAUUUGAAUAAUAAAUUAUGAUUUUUUGUGUGUGUAAGUUUGAAUUAAAUAAAUUUUUAUAAUAUAUAAUAUCCAUAAUUACUUGUAUUUUUUAAUAAAAAAAUAAAAAAUAUAAUAGAAAAUAUUUUUGUGUUAAAUUGAAAUAAAUUUAUUAAAUAUAUUAAAAUUUAAGAAAAUAAUAUUUAUUAUUAUAUUCAUUUGUUAUUUUAUAUAACAUAUAUGUGUGGUUGAUAUUACAAUUUUAUUUUAUGAUUUAUAAUUAUUUUUUGUAAUUAAUAAUAUAAUUAAAUAUUUUUAAAAUUGUUAAAUAAAUUUAUGUAAUAUUUAAUUUUGUAUAUUGUAUAUUAUAUAUCAUAGUAAAAUGCAUGCACAAAGUAUUUGAGUAAAAUGUAAAAUUCUAUAUGGAAUCAGCACAAAUAUUUUCAUUUGUGUGAAGAUUGAAAAAAUAUUCUCUACUUCUCUCCCAUCCACUCCCAUACCCUCAACAUCCCUUAAAAAAUAAAAAAACACCAUCUUCCACCUUCUUUCUCUCUCUCCCUACCUGAAAACAAACAAAACAUAAAUGCAUAAUAAACGUCCUAUUCACUACCAAUGUUUCUAACUACCACUAAAAAAACCGCAUGUUUAUAUUAUCCUACAAUUAGCGUUGAAUUCUUGAAUUGCAUAAUUUGAAAACAUCAAUUAAUCAUUCAUCCUUUAAUAUUCAUUUCGUUCAUUAUACGCCUUGUGAGCUUCAUUGUGAAGUUGCAAAGGGAAUAGAUGAAGUGAGUUGCAUUCAGUACAGAUUCAAACAUCUUCCCACCAACGUUGUCAAGGUGUAUAGAUGAAUCCAGAGGGGCGGUGGAAGGAGGUUCGGGGUCGUCGGAGGGAGGUCCAGGGGUGUACACAUAAUUACACUAAUUUCUUUUUCUCUAACUUUCUGAGGACUCAUAAGGAAUUUGAUAUGUUUAAGAUUUUCCAGAAGUGGGCUAGGGUGAAAGAAGUAUUCAUAUCAUGUAGGACUAACAAGUGGGGAAGAAGAUUUGGGUUUGUGAGGUUUUUUUUAUGUGCAAAAUGCAAUUAAGUUGGAGAAGGAGUUGGAUAGGAUUUACAUUGGUGAUAGGAAAUUAUUCGUUAAUAUCCCAAGAUAUAAACGAGUUGGAAAUGAAAAGGAGGGUAGACGUUUAAGUGAGGAAAUGAGGCCUCUGGGUAUAGGGAGGAAAGGAAACAACUUGUGUACAAGCCUAUGAAGACAAAUAGUAAGGAGGUUUGGAAGGAGAAGAGAGGUAAGGGGUUACAAAAGGUCCAUAAGUUCUCCUAUGUUGAUGCUGUAAGAAUAUCUCCUCAAGGGACUUGGAAAGGCCCGAUAGUCGAAAGGAGUAUUGAGAACGGCGGUUUGGGGGUUGAUGGAGUUAUCCUUUCAGAACACAGUAAGACGGAGAGAGGUGAAUUAGGAGAAGCAAGUGAGCUUUCUCUAAACGCUUCUCAAUCUUUAGUGAAGAAGGUGACCGAAGCAAUGCAUGGUACUUCCAGUGGCCCUCACGGAAUCUGUAUAGAUGAAAUGGAGAAAAAAGGAGCACAAACAGGUUUUAUCAAUCAUGGACGUUGAAUCGAAGAAGGGAGUGAAAAGGCUAUGGAGCACUUAGUCUUCGAAGGGAUCCAAGAUGACGCUGUUAAUACUUGUACCGGUACUGGGCGAGGCCGGGACCCACCUGCCUGCCCGACUCCCAGUCAAGCCUGACCGAGAGACUGAUAAGUCAAUAUCUUCAGAAAUCUGGCCGAACGGCCGGCAGACCGAGACCUCCAUAUACUUGGCCGACUGAUGAAUGGCCGAGACCUUCGUAUACUUGGCCGACUGACGAAUGGCCGAGACCUUCGUAUACUUGGCCGACUGACGAAUGGCCGAGACUUCCGUAUACUUGGCCGAUUGAUGAAUGGCCGAGACCUUUGCAUACUUGGCCGACUGACGAGUGGCCGAAACCUUUGGAGACUUAACUAAGAUGGUCGAAGACCACACUUAUUUGGCCGAUGGCCUACCCUCACCAUGAGAAUGUGGCCGACGGCCGAACCCUAUUACGAUUAACGCUCAAACCGAGAUCAGUAAAGCUAAUCCAUCAUCAAGAAUUAGGUAAUGCAACCCUAAGCGGUAUCCACCUCGAUAAACGGGCCCAACAAGGUAGGCCCAUUAGAAUAAUAUAAAUAGCACGCAUUCCAAGGAGUAAGGUAUGUCAUUAUUACUGUUCACCUACCUGAGAGCUAACCGUCCGCUUUACUGACUUGAGCGUCGGAGUGCCUUCACAGGUACCCCCACCAUCCGGUGUCCACCCGACGACCGAGUCCCGAGUGCCGAAGGGUAAACAGAAGAAAGAGAAGGAUCCCAGUUCAUCACCUAGCCACCUGCCCGACCGAAGGAAGGAGAAGAAGACUUCAACAGUUCUCUAGGUCCCAUCUCCCUAGCAGGAACAAUACUCCUGUGAAUGAUGGUCGUAUCAAUGCAAGGUCCCACGGAGAGCGCGGUGGAGAGGAAGGAGAAAGCAUGCCAGGUUUAGCGGUGGGCAUUAAUUUGAGUGGGAGCCAAGACGAGCCCAAAGAGGAAUGCCUAAGGACGCCUAUAGGGGUAUGCAGAUUAUGAUCGAGAUGGGAGCAGGGGGAAUCGAGUAGACAACAUUGGUGGAGAUCGAAAGGGGGAGCAGGGUCCUUGCACUGUGAGAACAACUCUUCAUCCAGGUCUGGAUCGUUUAUUUUAAAUAAUUCUGAUAGUGAAAUCAUGAAUUGUAAUGAUCGUAUCAGAUCUUAUGUGAAUUUAGCUGAGUCGUCUAGUCUAUGGGAGAUGGGUAAACAAUUUGGAUUAUUUUGCUUAAGGGAGGAAGAUGUGGUGAUAAGAGAGUUUGAGCGUAUGGAGGACAUGGACUAUGAUGUGUUGAAGAAGUUUGAGGAGGGUAAUGAAAAUGGUUGUUUAUGAUUAUCAUCAGCUUAAAUAUCAGAGGGCUAGGGAGGGGAACUAAAGCUAAUUACAUCAAACAUAUUGUUGCAAAGGAGGGAGCAAAAUUCUUAUGUUUGCAAGAAACAAAAACUUUUGUCGUAACUAAAGCUAGAUGUUUUUCGAUAUGGGGAGAUUGUAACGUCGGAUGGGUUCAUAAUGAAGGAGAAAAUGGAGUAGGGAGUAUGUUAUCUAUGUGGCAUAAGGAUGCAUUCAAUUGUGGUAAUCAAGUGAUGGGAAAGGGGUUCAUAGUUAUUAUCGGGCAUCAUAUCAAAUCCAAAGCUUUUUGUGUUGUGGUCAACGUCUACGCAGAAUGUAAUUUGGCUGAUAAAGUUGCUCUAUGGGAGGAAUUGACAAGGAUUAAAAGUACAAAUCAGUAUGUGGUCUAGGGCAUAUGUGGAGAUUUCAAUGCUGUAAGAUGCACAAAUGAGAGAAAAGGGUGUGAUGGGUAGUGGUAGUCAGAAAGGUGAAAUUGAUGGUUUUAACAGUUUCAUUGAGAGGAAUUUUCUCUUGGACUUACCUCUUGUAGGUAAGAAGUACACCUGGUACAAAGCGAAUGGUAAGGCAAAGAGUAGGCUAGACCGUUUUCUUGUGUUCGACGAAUGGAUGCAAAUGUGGUCAAUGCACAAGCAGCGUGUUCAACCAAGGGAGGUAUCAGAUCAUUAUUCUAUUGUGGCUAAAUUUGUGGUAAAAGAUAGGGGCCCAAUACUGUUUAGAACUAUCGAUGCUUGGAUGCUUGGCAAUUGGAGCCUGGGUUUAAGGAGAUGGUGAAUGUUAAAUGGCAGUCAUAUGAGGUGCAAGGAAAUGGUCUUUCUAAAGUUAAAGACAAGUUUAAGCUUUUGAAAGCCGAUCUCAAAAUAUGGAACUGUGGUGUGUUUGGAUGCUUGGUUGCAAGUAAAAAGAGGGUUCUGAAGAAAAUUGAGGAUCUAGAUGUUCUAGAUAAUUCUAGUGACCUUGGCGAGGGUGAUAAGAUGAGAAGACUAGAGCUUGUUAGCCAGUUAAGGGUGAUCGAUAAAAAUCUUGAAUCGGUGUCUAGACAGAAAGCAAGGACAAAUUGGAUUAAGAAGGGUGAUCUAAACACAAAGUUUUAUCACUCUGUUAUCAGAUUGAGAAAGCUGAGAAACGCGGUCAAAGGGGUUGAGGUAGGAAAUGUGUGGUGUGAGGAGCUGAAAACUGUUAAAAGAGUAGCCAAAGAGCUGUUUGAAGAAAGAUUUAAUGUGUCUGUUGACUGGGAUGUAAGCCUGGGGUCAGUGGAUUUCAAGUCCUUACCAAGGGAGGUUAGUUGGAGUAUGAUUGCAGAUGUCAUGGAGGAAGAAGUCAAGGAGGCGGUAUGGCAAUGUGAAGGAUCAAAGAGCCCAAGACCGAAUGGGUUCAACUUUAAUUUCAUAAAGUUUAAUUGGGAUACUCUCAAGAAAGACUUGAUGGAAGCAGAUCUAUGUUACCAAGAAACGGGGCACUUUCCGAAGGGAUGUAAUGCAUCCUUUAUUAUGCUUGUACCAAAAGUUAAUGAUCCAACAAGCUUAAACCAAUACCGUCCGAUCUCCCUAGUAGGUGCUCUCUACAAAAUAGUUAUUAAGAUCCUAUCGUGUCGGGUUAAGAAGGUAUUUCAUUUGGUUAUCAAUGAUAGACAAUAUGCAUUCUUGAAGGACAAAGGUAUGUUAGAUAGUGUCUUAGUGGCUAAUGAGGUGGUUGAGGAGUUAAGGAGACAUAGGAGAAGUGGGUUGUGUUUGAAGGUGGAUUACGAAAAAGCGUAUGAUUCGAUAAGGUGGAACUUUUUAUAUGAUAUGCUUCAGAGGUUGGGGUUUCAUUGGAAAUGGAUUAAGUGGGUCAAAGGUUGUUUGGAGUUGGCAGUGUCAGCGUUGAUUAAUGCUAGCCCAACGAGAGAGUUUAAGCCUUCGAGAGGGUUGAGGCAAGUUGAUCCCUUAACCCCGUUUCUCUUUUUGGUUGUAGCUGAAGGAUUAGCAGGGUUAGUAAAACAAGACCUUAAGAAGAAUUUGCUGAAGGGUAUAAAGGUGGGGAGGAAAGACACUGAAGUGUGUAUGCUACAAUUUGCGGAUGACACUCUUUUUAUGUGUGAAGAUUCUUACACAAAUGUAAUUGUUGUUAAAGCUAUCUUAAGGUGUUUUGAACUUGUCUCUAGCCUGAAGAUCAACUUUUACAAAUCUAGAUUGCCAGGUAUAAAUGUCGAUCGAAACUCCCUUCUCUGUUAUGCAAAGUCCUUAAAUUGUUCUUUAAUGAAAGUUUCCUUCGUUUAUCUCGGGAUAAAAGUUGGAGGUAAUCCUAGGAAGAAGCAGUUUUGGGAACCAAUUAUGAACAAGUUAAGUGCUAGACUAAGCUUGUGAAGAGGGAAAUUUUUGUCGUUAGCGGGAAGAGUCACCCUUAUAAAGUCAAUCUUCUCGUCUCUACCUUUAUUUUAUUUCUCUUUCUUUAAAGUUUCGGUAUCAAUGUGUAAUAAAAUCAUGAGUAUUCAGAGGAGGUUCCUAUGGGCUUGGGGAAGAGAGAACAAGUCUAUAUCUUGGGUAAGCUGAGAAAAUGUUUGUAAACCUAUGGAGGAAGGAGGUUUGGGGGUCAGAGAUGUUACAAUGUUUAAUUGCGCUUUGCUGGCAAAAUGGAGGUGGGGGAUGGUAAGCAAUGAAUAGGGCUUGUGGAAGGAGAUUAUAGAGUCCAAAUAUGGUCUGGAACUAGGCCGCAGUUUUUGUCAUAAGAAGGCGCAAUCAUGGUGGUGGAGGGACCUUUGUAAAGUGUGUGGUGAUGGAGAAGGAAAAUGGUGGUUCCAAGAAGCUAUACGCUGGAGAGUUGGAUUAGGGGAUAUAGUCAGAUUAUGGGAGGAUUCUUGGAUUGGAAACAAGAUGUUAGAUGAGAUGUACCCAAGGUUGUAUUCCUUGUCUCUAGAUCAGGGGUUGAUGGUGAGUGAGGUAGGGAAGUGAGAGGAUAAUGCAUGGGAAUGACAAUUAACAUGGAGAAGGGAAAGGUUCGUGUGGGAAGCCCAACAAGAAGUAGAUCUCCUUAGAUGCAUGUUCAGGGAUGCUCUGAUCAAGGAGGAACCAGACUUGCGGUUUUGGGGUAUGGAUGAUUCAGUGGAUUUCUCGGUCAAAUUAGCAUAUAAAUGCUUGACUAAUUGGGAUGAGGACCUGACAGAUAAUGUGUUCCAACAGCUAUAGCUAAGUAAAGCAUUGCCUAAUAUUCUAUAUACAGCUUGGAGAGUACUUUUGGAUAGGUUGCCUACGAGAAUGAAUCUCAUUAGGCGAGGAGUGUAAGUGAUGGAUUCGAACUAUGUGAUGUGCCAAGCUUCGGAAGAAUCUGCUCAUCAUUUGUUUCUAGAUUGUCAUAUUGCACAACAGGUAUGGCACUUGUGCCUUAGGUGGAUAGGGGUCCUAUCUGUUCAGCAUAUGGAUAUGAAGUGCCACUUCGAAAGCUUUAGCUUACCGUUCCUGUCUACAAAACAGAAUCAGGUGUGAGGCGGCAAUUAUAAGGGGUAUUUGGGAACAACGUAAUGCUGUUAUUUUUAAGCAAGAGAAGUUGAAUGCUGAAGAAGUUUUCUUUUUGGCACAAAUGAAAUCUUGGCUAUGGAUGAAAUACAAGGUUCGUUCUUUUAAUAAUGCGUUUUCAAAUUGGGUAUUAAACCCUAUCCUCUGUAUAGGAAGUUACCGGUGAGUUUCUUAGGAGGGUAUAUGUUUACGGAUGGGCCUAUGGUAUAUUUAUCUUGGUAGGAUGUGAAGCUUGUUCUGUUGGUAGGGAUGGGUGGUUAUUCCAGCAGUGGUAGAUCCUGUUUGAUGGUGUAUACAACAGUGUUUAGGUGUUGGACCUGGUGGAGUGAGUUUUUCUUGGUGUGGAUAUUGAUGCAUAGCAAUUCAGAGGGGUUAGGUGCUUAAAAGUGCCACGGUGAAGGUUGGGAUGGUGAGGAAAACGAUGUUGUAGUGUGCUGUUUGGCAAGUUUCUGCUGCAUAAUUUGUCGUAUAUUUUGUUGUAAUUUGGGUGCUGCCACAUUCACUUUUUAAUGUUUCUUCGUGCUGCUGGUGCGUCCUUUGGAUGCUGAUCUGUGUGGCUUUAGCCACAAGCAUUGUCCCUUUUCAGGCUUUCUCAUUACAGGAUAGUUGUAGGCUUUUUGUUAAAGAUGAUGCAAACUUUUUUAAUUUAGCUAUGGGUUUGUAAUGUUGUUGUUUAAGCCGUAGAACGGUUGAUUUUGGCCUAAGCUAUAAGAUACUUUGUGGUUAUGUAUAUGGAUUAGGAUAUCCCAAAAGUAUCUCUGUUAAUUUAAUUUAUUUAUUAUUGAUAAAAAAAUUAAAAAAAUCCAAAUAUAUCAAUAGAGACCGAUUAACUAUUUGUAGCGCCUAUUUUAUAUAGUUUAGUUAUUUAAUGUUAUUGUAAUUAAAUAAAUAUAUCAGUCUAAUUAAGUUAUUUGUGAGUGUGGUUGUGUUACAUGUCUAUAUUAAUCAUUCAAUUAUUGUAGCAUUUAACAUCUGCUAUUGAGAACUGAACAGUCUGAUAAGCUAAAUAUUAUAAAAAUACAAAACAAACAUAUAUAUAUAUAUAUAUAUAUAUAUAUAUAUAUAUAUAUAUAUAUUCCCAGCUUCGGUUAUGUUCGGUUGGGGUAUUUUGUUUUUUGUUAAUUUGUUUGUUUGCUUUGAGCCUUAGGUUUUUGGCCCGCUUGAUUUGCUAUUUUGAUUGGCUGGAUUUUUUCACGGGUUCAUUUAAGAUCUUAGAGUCCUUAUCUUUGUUAGUUCCUGAAAAAACUAUUAUAUUGAUAACUGCAAAGAAUGUGUUUAGAAAGUUUAGUCCUUCACUAUAUUUUUUUCAUGUACAAGAAACAAAAACUAGAGAAUUGAAUAAAUAUAAUGUAAAAUAAUAUUAUAUCAAAACAUUAUAUGUACAUAUCACCCUUUAUAAUUUAAUCAAUACAAUUUUUAUAUUGUAAAUAAUUAAAUUAGUUUUGUAAUGGUUAGUUGAGAUAAAUGAAUUUUACCAUCUUCUUAUUCUUUCAAAAUUUUAGAUUAUUUUUAUCAUAUUUAUUUUCCAAUCAAAGGAAACUAAUUAAUAUUAAAAUGAAAAAAUAUAGGUACAUUAGUUAAGUACCAUAAUUAAUACGUAAAUAAAAUUUGGUUAAAGAUAUACCUCACUGAAAAAAGAUAUAAUUAUAAAAUAACUAAAUAGGUAAACAAGUUGCUAUUAGCAAAACCCUAAUAAACAAAUAUAAUUUUAAGAAUUAAAAAUAAAAUAAAAGACAUAAAUAUAAACUAAUAAAAGAGACACCGUGUGGAUAUAAAUUUAAUAACAUAAAUAUAAAUUAGUAAAGAAGACAGUAAAAAAUACUAAGUGUCCAUCAAUUUAUUCAAUUCCUCUCUAAACAUCUACUUAUGAGAUUUUUAAUUUUUUAUCUUUUAAAUAAAACAAACAAGGCAAUGUUAAAGUAAAAUAAACAAGAAUUUCAAGAACAUAAUUGAAUUAUCAACAAGGGUUCAAAAAUAAUUUUAAAAAGACCAGACUCUUUAGUAUAUGUUACAAGAUUGAAGAAAAAAACUAAAUUGCAUAGAAUCUCGAAAUUAAAUGUGAAAUCAUAAGAUAAUCAAUCUAGAAAAGUUUAAUUUUUCUUGGGGAGACAAACCAAAAAUUACAAAGAAGAAAAAAAAGUAGGUUAGAAGGUCUUGUAGUCUCUGGUGGCUUGUAUCCAUUCAUAAGUUUUUUUUUUCUUGUAGAUUUCAUAUUCAAAUUAUGUUUCAAAUAUAGUUCCCAUUAUGCUUUUUUUAAGAUUUUAUAGAUUCUAGUUUUGAGAUUUUAUAGAUUUUAUUCUCCAUUUUUUUUUUCCAGAUUUUGUUUCCAAUUUUUCGAAUUCCGUAGAUUUAUUUUCAAAUUUGAUUUAAAUAAGCGAAUUGGACUUAACUAACACGUGCAUAAGUACAAUAGACUCUUCCAUACAACAGGUAUUAGACCAUCUACUGUAUUAAAAGUUUGAUAUUCUUUUUAUCAGUAAGAAACAAUAAAUAAAUAAAUAUAGAUAACUUAAGAGAUGACCCAACCCUUAUACAAGAAAUAAGAAAAAUAAGAUAGGGCCUCACACCCCAACCUAUCCCAAGCUCCCAACAAAAGCUACCAAUUAUCCCUAAAUCCAAAAAUAACACAACCAGAGAAGUCCACCCUUAGCAACAACCAAAGUGCACCGAAAGACAUAUAAACAUAAUCAGACUACCAAACAUUAACCUCCAAAAUUAGAGGAACUUUUAAAAAUCCCCUUUACAAAUAACAUAACACCUUAAUUUACCACGAACUCAACAAAAAAAAUCAUAGAUAUCCCUUUUCACAUCACUUUUGCUCGUCCUUAGAGUCUCUUUAUUCUAAUGGAAGAGGAAAAUGCUCCUAAUGAUUAAUAUCUCCUUAAUCCAUUCAGGGGGAACAGACUGCUUAAAACCAAUAUGCAAAACACACAACUUCUUCUUUCCUAAAACAAGGAGUUAGUAGUACAUACCAAAAUAAAGGAAGAAAAUUUAUUUAACAAAUUUCAUACAUACCAAAGGUUUCAAGCACCAAUCAGAAUAAGUGAACUCUACAUCUUUUUUUUACUAGUAAUCCAACCCCAUAAUUUUCUUUGUGCCACCGCAAACACCUUUAUAUAAUCAACUCUCUCAUUCUUAAAAACACACCUAUUCCGAUGUUUUUAAAUUUCAUCUACAAUUACAAUCCACACCUCUCCCCAAAUUUUGGAUAUCGGACCUUUAACAUUUGUAGGGCAGAACAUCAUGAUAUGUACCUUAGCGUCAUAAUGGUUAGAAUUCCAUCUCCUUCUACUUUCAUGAUUAAUUUUGUUAAUCCAUUGCACUAAGUUACUAUACAAGUUUAACACAUUCUCACAUGUCUAUAUUUUGACUCUGAAUUGGAUGAAUGUAGUGGUGAGUCAAGCCAGACACCGAAUUUACUACGUCUUUUACUACAGUUCAUUGCAUACUUGUUCAGUGGAGGAAACUACCCGACUAAUUCUAAAUGAAAACAGAUUUAAGACCUUAAUGCAGUGAGAAGCAUGAAGAAGAUGUUGAAGUAAUCUCCUUGGAAUAUAAAUAUGGGAAUCCACUCUCUAACAUUUUGGUUGCAACCCAUUGCAAUCAAAACUUUAUUAUUAUCAUCUUUUUUCUAUCAGUAAUCAAAAUUAAUAAAUAUGUACCACUUUCCAACUCUUGUAUAGCAAUGCCUAUUAUAAACUAAAUGCAUAAAGACCUGUUAUUCACUACCAAUCUUUCUAAUUACCACUAAAAAAACUGAGUGUUUACAUAAUUCAUAAUCAUGUACAAUUAGCGUUGAAUUCUUGGAUUGCAUGAUAAAAUUCAAAUAGACCUGAUAUGAUUAAUUAUUUGUAGCGCCUUAUUUUAUGUCGUUUAGUUGUUUAAUGUUAUUGUAAUUAAAUAAUUUAUCAAUCUAAUUCAGUUAUUUGUGAGUAUGCUAUGAAGCUCGGACACUCCUCUUAAAUGGCAUGUGGGUGUUUGAUAUUCGUAUUGGACACCGACACUCGUAUGACACCUGUAGGACACGUAUCCGUGAAGUGUCCAAUUCAAAAAGUAUUUGUUAGAUUUCUGACAAUUCUAGUACGGUUCUAACACAAUUUUAAAAAGGGAAAAUACAUUAAUUUUCUCAAAAUUCAAACUUUAUUGUAUAAAUUGUUAUUAUGAUUAUAAAAAUAAGAAACAAAUCCUUGUGAACCAGUCAUGAAAAAUAUUUUUCUGCUCCAAAAAAUAAUUUGGAACAUACUUAUGCACAUAAAUCUUUAUUGUCAAUUUAUAUAAUUCAUAAUUAUAUAAUAUAUAGAUUUGUGUCCUCGUGUCCUACAUUUUAGAGAUUUUACGUAUCUCUGUAUUCGUGUCUGUGUCGUAUCAGUGUCUGUGUCAGUAUUUGUGGUAGAUAGGUUACAUGUCUAUAUUAAUCAUUAAAUUAUUGUACAUCUUGUAUUGAGAAUCGAACAGUCUCGUAAGCUAAAAAUUAUACAAAACCCACGUAAAACAGUUUAUAUAUACUACGGGAAUACAAAUACUCAUUUUUUAUUUUUAUCAUUUAUAUAUAAUUAUGCUUAAUAUUAAAAUUGAAUAAACAAUAUUAUUAUUCACACACUUAUAAACAUCUCUAUUGAAAAAAAAACAAAAUAAAAUGUAUACAUUAAAAAAAUAGGAAAAGUAAAAUAAGAUAAAUAAAAGAGAUUAAAUAUGAAGUAAAUUAGUAAUACACAGUUUCAGAAUCUCAAAAUUAGGAUUUUUGAAGCAUUAAGGAGACAUAAGACACGACUGUAGUGGCAGCCAAGGAAGAUUGUAUGCGCGUGUGCGCUUGCAUUUAGAGGUUGAGAGGGUCAACAAUGAAGGCGUUUGCUGACGCUGUGGCGUAUCACAACUUUGAACUUUUUGAUUUCUUCCUCUCUCGUCUUCACUCACUUUGAUUUUUGACUCAUCGUUAGAGUUUCAAUUCUUCCUUGUGUGAUUGAGAAAUAUACCUUUGUUUUGAAAGAAGAGGCACCAAAAUUGAAUUUGCACGCACCUAGGGCUCUGCACAAAGAACAAAAAUCAAUUAGUGGAAUAAUCUAUCUACCAGGAAGAUGAUGCGGAUGGGGACGAUCUUGUAGAUGUAAGUUGUCUUUCUCUAUGCAAAACUUGGAUUGAUACACUUUGAAUAAUUUUUUGAAUAUCCCAAACAAUAUAUCAUUUUCGUACAACAAUGUAGUGGUGGUGUUUCAAUCCUUGGUUCCCAUCAAAUGACUUUGGUUUGUUUCGAGGUUUUUGGUGGGUUCGACCAUCUGCAAAAAAAAAAAAUGCACCAAAAUUGAAUUUGUUAAAUUUGGGCACAUGUGAAUUUGUAGAAAGAGCACACUUGGAAGAGCGCAACAAAGAAUAUCAAAGAGCACACUUGGAAGAGCACAGUUUUUAAGAUGUUUUUAUAUUCUUUCUCUCUCACAAAUUUCUUAUAUAUCACUAUUUUGCCUAAAAAAAGGUAACAAAAAAGUAAUCAAUCUCUCUACUCUCUUGCUAGUUAGGAUAACAAGAAAAUAAAAUUACCGUACCAGUCUCUCCACUAUCCUGUCAGUUAAGUGAGAACAAAUAAAAUAAAAUUUUAAAAUUAAAAAACUGCUUUAUUAACUUCUAAAAUUAUAAAAUGUCCAAAUAACCAAAAUAAAUUAAUAAAGCAAAAUAUUAAGCAAGGAUAAAAUAAGAAAAUAAUUUAGAACAGUUAAAGUGGGAAAUCCCUUUAUAUAUACUAGCAGGAACAUAGGCACGGGUAUCCACACUUUUCAUUUUUAUUAUUUAUAUAUUCAUGUAAUUUUAAUAAAUAUUAAAUUAUAUGAGAAGACAUGUAAGUUAUUUAAGUGCACCACUGAUAAUAGUUUUAUUAAGAUUUUACAUUAAUUUUUUAUAUUUUCAUUUUAUUGUUUUUGAAUAUUAAAUUUUGAUUUAACUUUGAGUGUAAUGUUGAACUUUGUUAGGUUAUCAAGAUUAAAAUUAAGGUUUAAAAAAAUUGGAGCAGCAAAUAAUGUCAAAACAUAAUGAAAAUGAUAAUGUUCUUCAAGAUCUUCCCGUUUCAAGUUUAGAGUAACUUUCAUGUUCAUCAAACGCCUUAUGCAAGGGUUGUAUAUUGGAAGUUGUAGAAUUUAUCACCAUAUCAAUUGAAUCCAUGUCUUCCAUGGCAAAGAAGUUGAAAAAAAUAAAAUAAUAAACUAAAUACAAAUUAGCAAACUUCCAACUUAUGUAAUAUUUAAUAGAUCAAAGCAUCAGUAGCAUAAAAGCUUUGCCCCCAAAGUUGUGCUUAGGAUUCACUAAAUUUAACAUCUUAUUUAAAAAGUAUUAUUCACCAAAUUAUUCAUUUUUAAUUUUUUUACAAUAUCUUUGGCGUAGAUUGAUCUAAGAUUUCUAAGAACACUACUAAAUACAUAAAUCUGACAUGAAAACAAAAUAACUUGCCAAAAAUAGUCCAGAUCCAAAAAUUUCAUAUAAAAGAAAAAAAAAACUCAAAAAAUCUUCCAUUGUUUUGUUAGGUGUGUACUUUUGGAGUGCAAUGUCAAGGAAAUCACCCAAAUUAAACCAGAAUUGAGAGAGAAUUGAAUGGUAAAUAAAAUCUCAAAUCUGCCUUGAAUAAACAUUUUCAUACCAAAAUAUAAAAAAAAAAUUAAGAAAGCAAUAGAAACAAAAAUGUUCAAAUCCUAUAACAAUGAAUGAAAUGAAACUUUGAAACUUCUUUUAUAAAACUCUUGAAAUUGUACUAAUUGUACCGUUCAUUUACAUCUCAAACUUCAAGAGCUAUUAAAACAUUUCACCGAUGACUUCCGCAUUAUAAUCUCCACGUAAGCGACGUGGCUUCGGCGACUACUACAAAGAACCUUCCAAAACUUCAAAACGACACCGAAAGCCAUUGAAACAUUUCACUGAUUUUAUCCUCAAACGGUUGGCUUCUGCAUCGUAAUCUCGGGGUUAUUUUUUUUUGCUUUUUACCAAAAUGGGGUCUGUUUAAAAAAAAUUACAAAUUUAGGCAAGUCGUGUCAAUUCGGCACGACUUCAUAUGCACAAAUCGUCCUAAUUAGACACGACUAUGCCAUGUCAUACUAAAGUCGUGCCAACUUAGCACGACUUCUGCCUUGUCAUAAUUUUCUUCAAUAAUAAUUUUCUUCUUUUUUUAAUUAAUCAAAUAAUCAAGUUAUUGUAUUACAUUACCGUCAAGCAUGAUCCAUACACGAUUAUCCAAUUUUUUGUUCCUUAAAACUAACACUCUUAGAAAAUUAUGUAUCAAAUUAAUUUUUAACAUUACAUAACAUAUUACCCAAUAUAUAAACAAUAAAAUUAAAAAAUAUAUAUAUGACAUGGCAGAAGUCGUGCCAAGUUGGCACGACUUCAGUAUGACAUGACGAAGUCGUAUCUAAUUGGGACGAUUUGUGCAUAUGAAGUCAUGCCGAAUUGACACGACUUGCCUAAAUUUGUAAUUUUUUUUUAAACAGACCACAUUUUGGUAAAAAGCAAAAAAAAAUAACCCACCAUAGUAAAAAACUCUCUUCUUUAUGCUGAUUUCUUUUCCGUUUUCUUCUUCACCUAGACUUUCUUUUUAUACUAAGAGAUUGCUCUUGAUUUGCUGUUUUGACGGGUUCAUUAUAAGAUCUUAAUUAUCCUUAUCUUUGUUAGUUCCGGAAAAAAUUUAGUGCUUCACUCUAUUUAAAUUGGUAUUUUUAUAUUCUUUUUCAUUACAAGAGACAAAAAUAGAAAAUAGAAGAAAUAUUGUGUAAAAUAAUAUUAUAUCAAAACAUUAUAUAUACAUAUCACCCUUUAUAAUUUAAUCAAUACAUUUUUUUUAUAUUAUAAAUAUUUAAAUUAAUUUUGUAAUGACCAGUUGAGAUAAAUGAGUUUUAUCAUCUUAUUAUUUUUCAAAAUUUUAGAUUAUUUUUAUCAUAUUUAUUUGCCAAUCAAAAGAAAAUUAAUUAAUAUUAAAAUGAAAAAAAUAUAGGUACUAGCUAAGUAACAUAAUUAAUAAGGAUACUCACUAAACAAAUAUAAUUAUAAAAUAAUCAAAUCGUUAAACAAGUUGUUGUUAGCAAAAACCCUAAUAAAUAGAUAUAAUUUAAGAAUUAAAAAAUAAAAUAAAAGACAUAAAUAUAAAUUAAUAAAAAGGACCAUGUGUGGAUAUAAAUUUAAUAACAUAAAUAUAAAUUAAUAAAGAGACCAUAAAGAACAUCAAGUCUCCAUCAAUUUAUUCAGUACUUUGUUUGUCUUCAAGCAUAUCUAUUCAUGAGGUUUUUAAUCUUUUACCUUUUAAAUAAAAUAAAUAAGAGAAAGAAUUACAAAAGAAAAUCCAAGGGUUGAAUGCCAGACGAUGACAGUGGACUAAAUAAUUUUGGAGGGAAGAGAGAACAAAGUCGAAAUCUUUGUUCAUAACUGCACCACAUUGUUGCAAUGGAGCCUCUCACACACAAACACAAAAGAAGAGGUGCACAGCAUAGGAAAAAUAUGAAAUGGGGGAGAAAGGAAAAUCUAAGUUUAUUUUAUAAAUCUGAAGAGGUGAAAAUUUUGUCAUUUCACCAACCCCAUAGUGGUACGGCUUGAAACCAUGGGGUGAAGCCUGUAAUACCCUCUUUUUAACCCAAACAGUUGUUAUUGUAAAAAAUGGUUUUACAUUUUGCACCCCUAUAAAAGUCCAACUACACCUCCAUAUAAUUUGAAAACCCUUUUUACCUUUUUAAAAUUGUAUUUUUCAAUAUACAAUUCAAAAUAUAAAAGAUGUAUUUUAUAAUGUAAAAUUCAUAAUACACCAUUCAAAAGUACAUUGGAUUGUACAUUUUGGAAAAUACAAUACUAUUCUAAAUUAUACAUUCUAUAAUACAUUAUUUUAACUUUUUUUAAUUAUAUUUAUAUUCUAUUUGAAUAAAUUUUAAGUAUAAUUUAUUUAUUUUAAAAAUAAUUUUUUUAAUUUUAAGUUUAAAUAAUUUUUUUAAUAGAAAGAUAUUUUUUUAAUAGAAAGAAUAUUCACCAAAAGUGAAUAUUCGAAAAUGAUGAUAAUAUCUCAUAUAUUCAUAUUCAAAUUUUUUUACAAUAUAAUUAUUGUUAAAUUAAAAAAUAAAAAACCUAAAUAUUAUAAUACCAGGAAUCCUUUUUUAAUACACUCCAUUAAUUGAACUAGUGCAUUAGGUCCUUGAGAAAUAAAAACAAAAAAUUACGGUAACAUAAUAAUUGAAAUAACUCACCGAAAAAGUAUGUCAUAUUUUAACGACGGUCGUGUUUGGCCAUCAUCUAGAUUAUAUGGUCGAUUAUGCGACAAGACAUAAGGUUUAUCUUCAUCUGCUUGAGGAAGUACGUAGGUGUAUGACACUCAUUUGAACUAGUGCAUUUAUUCGACUGCACAUGUUGAGGGAUGUGAAACCAAUGUCACACUGAUUACAAGGUGUCCAACAAAGUGCAACCAUUAGUCAUCAAUAAUAGCAAAUACACCUCCUUCAAAGGUGGUGAAGUCUCAGGAAUCGUUUGCUCAUACCCAAACUAGUACAAUACAAGCUCAGGCAAAUGGUGUUUUAAGCACAUCCCGAGCCAAUUAUUUCCUGAAAACAUGACUAUCACCUUAAAUAAUUAACUAGGCUUAUGGCAAUCAUAAGGAGUCCUGAACACCGACACGGGUAAGACUGUUUAACUACUUGUGCAUAGACCAUCUGUACACAUAUGGCGUCCAAUAACAUAAUGACACACCCGAGGGAGGAAGUCCUAUACGUUGGAGUGAUAUCUUUGAUUCCCAUACCUGGUUAAUCCAUUAUGAACUAAAUAUUAUUCAUAUAUUUAAUUAAAAUAUAUAAAUUAUUCAACAUUUAUGUAUUAUUUACAUGUAAUAGAGUGACAAAUCCUCCUAACUACUUUGUCUGUAGGGAGGAAGCAUCCCCCAACUGGUCGUAUGUGGGUGAGUACACAAACUCCACAUGCGUACUCAUCAAACAUCCUAAGAUUUUCAAAUAGUGGAAAAUACGAUACACUAAUCGAUGUCACACUUUUAUUAGCAACAAUUAUGUUCCUAACUAGAUGCAACAAAUAAACAUGAGUUGUGAACUCCUAUCUUUAGUGUACGAUACACCCAACCAAAUGCAACAAAUAAACACUUUGCGUAACUAACUUAGUUGGACGGAAGCAUCACGAUACUGCUUUAACCCAGUUGGCGGUGUUAUCGAAAUGUACUCUAAGUAGCUCGACCAACAAAGAUGACCUUGAUUGAAAUCCAACAUCACUUACAUACAAAAUUGCACACAAUGGAGAGAAGGAUCAAUGCAGACACAUAAUCCACAAUGAUGGUCAUCCCACCAACGAAAAGGUGGAAAACGUUGGUGUCACAUGUCAUUUCUCAAAUAAGGUUGAUAUGAGACCUUUAUCAGCGGUAUCAUAACUAAUGUUGCACAGUGGAAACAACCUGGUGUUAAGCACCAUGGCAUCAUUUUGGGAUGAAAGAUCCCAAACUUACUUAGCUUGCAUAUGUCGGAUACUAACUUCAUUUCUAAUCAAUCGUCACCCUUCCACAAUUUACAAGUCACGUGGUUAGCGUAACUCUAUUGUAAUGACAUAUCAGUAUGUCCCCCAUAAAAUCUUACUCCAAUUUCCCCAUACUUUUAUGCAGCAGAUGGUAGUAACACAUCACCAUUAACGACACUAGCAAUAACUUGUUCUCUAUAUGUUCUGCAAACUAGUGUUGUCAAUCUCUGUCUAGCCUGCGUUUGCGAUGAUGAUCCACUUAUGGUCCUGUUUAUAUCUCUGACAAUAAUAAUAACAAACAAUCAAUAUUUUUUUUAAAAUUAAUAUAUAUUUUGGAUUGGACAUUAUGGAAUGUGUUUUUGGAUCCGAAAACUAGGUUACACACAUAAUCAAUAAAAACAAAAUACGUUGUAAAUACUUAUCUCUUUAAUGACGAUUCUUUGAUUGUACUUCCAAAAACUCUCAUACUCACGAAUGAAGGAAUAAAAUUUGAAAGAGGCGAAGGCAAGUAUGCAACAGAAGAUAGAAGAAGAGGCGGGGAAAAAGAAAUGAGAAGUGUGUUAAAUAUAAGUAUAAAAAGGGAUAGUUUGAUCUUUUUAACAAGAAGUAUGGAGUUGCAGUUGAAAUUUAUGGUGGUGUAUGAUGCAAAGACCUAUAAAAAACCAUUAUUUAGACCCAAGGUUGGCCAGCAAGCAGGGUCGAGCAAGGUUAGCCUUCAAAGUGAGUUUUAUAUAUAUAUAUAUAUAUAUAUAUAUAUAUAUAUAUAUAUAUAUAUUAUAGCUUNNNNNNNNNNNNNNNNNNNNNNNNNNNNNNNNNNNNNNNNNNNNNNNNNNNNNNNNNNNNNNNNNNNNNNNNNNNNNNNNNNNNNNNNNNNNNNNNNNNNAUAUAAUAUCAUAAUUAAUUAUUUAAUUAAAAAAUAUAAUAAAAAAUAUUUUUGUGUUAAAUUGAAAUAAAUUUUUAAAUACAUUAAAAUCUAUGAAAAUAAUAUUUAUUAUUAUAUUCAUUUAUUACUUUAUAUAACUAUAUAUAUAUAUAUAUUGUUGAUAUUGUAAUUUUAUUUUAUUAUUUUCAUUAUUUAUAAUUGUAUGUUAUUAUUAAUGGUAUAAUUAAAUAUUUUUGAAAUUAUAAAUAAUAAAUAAAUUUAUGUAAUAUUUAAUUUUGUAUAUUGAAAUAAAAUGCAUGCACAAGGAUAUUUUGGUAAAAUACAAUAAUCAUACAUGAAUCUCCACAAAUCUUUUCAUUUUGUGAAAAAUGAAAAAAAAUCAUCCACCCUCUCCCCCAUCCACUUUCCCACCUUCAAAACCUUGAAACAAACACAAAAAUACCCUCUCCCUCCUUCCACUACAAAAAAAUCAAUAUUAUCUACGAAUUUUUAUCCACAUAUUUUAAUCCGUAGGUAAAUUCAGCAUUAUCUACGGACAACAUUAUCUACGGAUAUUACCUAAAGAUCUGAAUCGGUAGGUAAAUUCAGCAUUACCUACCAACUAUUACCUACGAACUUUUAUCCACGAAUCUCUAUUACCUACCAAUUAUUACUCACAGAACUCUAUUACCUACCAACUAUUAUCAUAAUAAUUAUAUACAUGAUAUUAAAAAUAUUAUUAUAAUAUAAUUAAUUAUAAAAUCAUAAAUAAUAUUCAUAAAUAAUAAUAAUAAAAAAAAUAAUAAAAAUAAUAAUCAUAACUAAUAAUAUUAAUAAUAUGAAUAAUACUUAAUAAUAUUUAAAAUUGUUAAUAAUUUUUAUAUUAUUAAUUAUAUUAAUAUUGAUAAUCUUACUAAUAAGUCUAGUAAUAAUCAUAAAAUGACAACAAAACUUAAAUAAAACUUAACUGGUGUAAUGGUUAAAAUAUUUUAGACAUUCCUUAAGGGAUUUGGCUUCGUGUCUCACAUGGUGCAAGUUUAGUUCUAAUUUUAAUUAAAAUUUUGAAAAUAAAGUAUAUUGAAUUAAUGAUUUUUUUUAUAAUGCUGAUUUAUCUACGGAUUUUAGCUGUUAUCUACGAAAUUCUUCCAUAAAUAAAUUGAAUUUUUCUUGUAGUGUCUUCCUCGUAAAAACAAACACACCCUAAAAAUUAGAAAAUUAGAUAUUAUGAUAACUACACUUGACAUAAGUACAUUCUUCCACAAAUUUGUUUACACAUUUAUUACUCACUUAUCAUUAUUCUACUAAUUUGAUCUACUGUAUGGCCUCCGUAAUUUUAUUAAAUACAAAAUAAUUGAAUGAUAAAUUAUAUGAUUAAACCUCAUUCAUAUCAAUAGACGCACAAUUUGAGUUUCAUAAUAUUGAAGAAGAUUUUCUAUCAAAGAAAUCAUGACGAAUGAAUAAUACACCACUAAUUUCAUCAUGCUUAAUGUAAUAGGAUUUGGUAUCACAUGCAAACAAAAAUUUUGUGGCCAAUGGGAUAUUUUACAAUUCAAUAAGUGGAGCUUCACAGUAUCAACCUUAUUGGAGCUUCCCUGUUGAAUAUGUUAAAGAUAAAGGUCACAUUCCACUAAAAUAAAAUACGUAUUUCUAAAUUAUAUGAAUUUGAAAAUACUCAUAUAUGAUAAAUUUCAAAUUACAAUUAAAAAACAAACUGCUUAUUUGCAUUUUUAAUAAAAAUAUGAGAUUAUAAAAUAAAAGAUAUUUUACCUCUUUUUUUAGUGCUUAAUAUAAAAAGGUAAAUAGAUUCUUUUAACACGAAAAUGUUUUCAUAUCUGUUUUAAAGAGAAAUCGAUUUUCUUAUAAAGUACUUUUUUAUAAAUAAUUUUAAAAGGAUAAGGAUGAAAGAGGGUCUGUUGUAACAUUUUUUAGAGUAAGGCUCACAUGCAUAUAUAAACAAAUUAAAAUGUGUGUUCCAUUAUUUUCGGCAAUAUUAGGCAGUAUAUUCUAAUAUGCCAAUUGCAGAAUAAGUAAAAAGAGAGUUUCUGGACUCAUACAACAACCGUUAACACUAGAAAAAUUAUUUGUUAGUACUUUUCAUAAGGUAAAUGUUUUUUUUUGCAAUGAAUAAAUUAAAUAGUCACGUAUAAUGAUAAGAAAUUCGACAUAAAAUUCUUUUCUUUAAAUUAAGUCCACUUGCAGUUGAAUAGACUUUGAAAGAAACUUUUUUCUACGGCGGACUAUCCAUCAAAAGAAAGACUAAAACAACGUAAGAGUGUUAUUAUUUAAUAUAUGUUAACAUAUUUAUAAGAAAAACAAACAGAAAAAAAUAUAAUAAUUUGUUAUAAAUUAAAGUUUAAUUAUACAUAAGUUUAAAAUAGUUUAGAGAGAUAUUUAAAAAAUAAAUGUUUUAAAAAAAUUAUCUAAACGUAUUCGUAAAAAAGAAGUACUUGUAAUUAUUUAUUUUUCUCCUGUUGGUUCCUAUAUAUACUUGGUGGGUGGAUGGAGUAGUCUGUGUUUGUCCUGUAGUUAUCAUGAAGGUAACUUGAACUAAAAUGAACUAGCUUUUCACGUUAAAAAAGCAAAACAUUCUCCAUCUCUCCAAACACACCGUAGUUGAUGAAUUUAUUAAAUUAUUCAUACUAUACUAUAGAAAGAAACAUUACCGACUUCUCUUUCACAACUUUAUGGCUUUUUUGUUUCCUAUCAUAAUGUAAUUUGCUUUUCAAUCUUUUAAAUGGUCAAAUAAAAUUUUAUUUAUGAAGUGGACAAAUCCUAAAUAAAGAGGUACGAUUUUAAAAAAAUUAUACUCUUCAAAUACGAUUUUUGUGUAAUUGUUUUUUGAAAUAUGAUUUUAAUUAGCAUGAAAACAAAAUUAAAUUAAGAAAUCAUUAGCCGCCUUAGAUUCUCUUGGUUGGUUAAGCGUAGCAUUCAGACACGGCCAACGUGACAGAAUCUGGCACCACAGAUAUGUUUCCAGCACUAGCCCCACCUCAGUUCACCGUUUUCCCAGUUCUAUCAAUUCAUUAACCUCGCAAAAAACUGCAGUGUCUCGUUUUGCAACUGCUAAAGGACAAAACCACUACACAUCAGCACUUCUCCACGGAAGAAGUUCUUCUUGUCUCAAAGUCGUGUCUUGUUAUAAGUUCUUAAUAACAAUUAAAUUCUUUCCCACCUCUUGGACUUCUCAGUUUUUUUUUUUAUUGAUGAUUUUGGUUUUCGAGGUUACUAAAUUAGUUAGUUUGAAUUUUUGUUACGUGGAUUUUGACUUGUUUUUUAAUUAUUGGAUCUAGAUAAACUUUUGGCUUCUAGGUCUAGAUUAUUCUUGAAUGGAUAUAGGUUUUAACGGGAAUGAUCUCAUAUUUUUUUUGAAUGGAUAUAGGUUUGUACGAGAAUGUUCAUAUUUUAAUUUGCUCAUUUUUAAAAAUUGAAAAGCAAAUUACACUUGUGAAAAAAAACCCCUUUUUUUUCUUCAGUAAUUACUUACAACUUCAACUAUCUACUCAAGUGAUUUUUUUAAGGAAAGAUAACUCAACAUUUAUUUUGGUUACUAAUUAGAUAUCUAUUUAGAAACUAUUUAAAACUAUAAUAGAAACUAAUUUAAAAAUUAAUUUUGUUUUAAUUUUUAAAAUAGUAUGUAAUUUAAUUACUAUUGCAACUAAUUAUUUUAGUAUCUAAAAAUGGUUUUUUAUUUCAUGAUUUCUUGUAGUGUGAUUUAUAGAAAGUAUCUUUAUUAAAACACAUAAAUAAUAAAUAAUAAGUAUUUGAUUUAAUUAAGAUAUUUGGAUAAUUAUUUAACUUAUCAAAUUAUUAUAUAUUAUUUUUGUAUUCUCUCUUAAUUUAAGUACUUUUAUUAUUUAUUAUUUAAUUCAAACAGAGGCUAAGAAAAGAUGGAAGGAAAAUGAUUGGCGUUGAUUUUUUUUAAGAAGAAGGUAUUUGUGGACAAUUGAUAAGAAUGAAACUUGGAUCCAUAAUCAAAUCAAAUUUUCCUCUUUCCUAUAAGAUUUGAGAUCAAAGUCAUUUUAACUUAUCACUUUUAUUACUAUUAUUAAUAUGGAUGAUGAGUCAUCAUAAUUCAUUAUGAUUUUUUCUUUGUUUUUUAAUAUAAUAAUAAUAAUAAGUUAUUUAUUUUUUUAAAAUUUAUAGAAAUAAUCUAUGUUUUUAUCAUAAGUUUCCUUUUCUUAUUUUCUUAGAUUCUGUAAUAGCAUCCAAACAAGCAGAAGUGACAAAUUGACUUUAAAGACUUUUAAUUAGUAGGAUGAAAACAAGACAAUAUUGCUUUAUAAUACAUGCAUAAAAUUUUCUGCUAACAAAUACAACAUUAAUACCUUCUUAUUUUUUGAAUAAAAUAUUUUUGUCUUAAUAAGUUGGUUUCAGAUUACUCAUACAAAAUUUAUCACAAUGCAUUUAAGGUGAGUUAAUUUUAGUUGAGUUGAAUUUAACCCAAUUAAACAAAACUCGACUCUAAUAUAACUUUGAUAUAAUUAAGUUAUAUUGUCUCAGUUUCGAUUAUCGAGUAACCAAUUCAAUAAAGUUUCUAUAGAGAAAAAAUUAUAUAUAUAUAUAUAUAUAAUUCUUCUAUUUAUUUUGCAGCACAUUUAAUCAGGUUUUCAUUUAGAAGUAUUACUAAAAGCUUUUGUUUUUUAAAUAUAUGCGUUUUAUUGUUUUGUUAUGGAAUUGUCAAUAAAAUUCAUAUUCUUCAUUAGCGAUCCCAUAACUAUAUAUUGCUAGUAUAUUAAAGCUUCUUUUUAAGAUUUUUAAUAAUAGAUGCAAGACACAUAAGAAAGAGUCUUUAUGAACAGAGAAUACAUGCACCAUUCAAACCAAUUUUAUUUUAUUUAUAUAUUACCUAGAGAGAGAGUCAUUUAAUAGGGAGGAAUUUUCCAAAUUGAACUUAAAAACUGAUAAUCAUAAUUUGAUAUGGUAAAUAUAAGUUUGCAUAUACUUAUAUAAGAAGUUUAAUCAUAUAAAGGGAGGGGAGAUAAGAUCAGAUUCUGGGAAGAUGUAUGGGUAGGGGAAACAAACCUUAAAACAACAUUUCAAAGGUUAUUUACUCUGUCGAUGAACCAAGGACAAAGGGUGGAAGAUGUAGGUGAAUGGGAGGGAAUAGAAUGGAGGUGGAGGUUACAGUGGAGAAGGACCAGAUUCGAGUGGGAAGCUGAGAUGGAAAGAGCCCUUAUGGAAUGUAUAGCUGGGGCCACUAUGAGGAGAAAUAUGAAAGAUACUCAACUCUGGGGGGAGGAGUUACAUGAAAAAUACACAGUGAGUUCAACAUAUGUAUGCUUAGCAAAACAAGCAUCAGGGGUGAAGCAGCAAGCUUUGGAGACUAUUUGGAAAGCCAAAGCUUUCCCUAAUGUUCUAAUAAAAACUUGGAGAACCUUAAUAGAUAGAAUUCCAACAAGAGAGGGGCUUAGCAGAAGAGGAGUACAAUUGACUUCAAAUUUAUGUGUGAUGUGCAUGUCCAAAGAAGAAACGUCCCAGCAUUUGUUUUUUGAGUGUAAACAUGCGCAUGUAGUCUGGGUUCAAUGCCUUAAUUGGUUGGGCAUCAACCUAGUUCUGCAUAAUGACCCUAAAACACACUUUUUGAGCUUCCAUUGUAUCCAGGCCACUACCAAACAGAAUCUGGUUUGGAAGGGUAUAUGGGCAGCAAUUGUGAGGUGCAUUUGGGACAAUAGAAAUUUAGUCUUAUUCAAACAAGGAGUAGUGGAUACAGAUGAAAUCUUUCAACUGGCCCAGCUAAAAGUGUGGUUGUGGCUGAAAUACAGAACCAGAAAUCUUGAUUCUGCCUAUGCAGAGUGGAUACUUAAUCCGCUUGUAUGCAUAAGUGCCAUCAAAUAAUUUAGAAUGAGGGGCAGGGGAGCAGGAGGACUAAGUACAAGUAUAAUAGACAUAGCCAUGGUGCAUGGUGAUAAAUCUGGAAAGGAUGAAGAGGAGGUACUAUUAUGGAGGAAUCGGUCAAAAAUGCUCUGAUUGGGGAGACUGAGGAGAUAGACUGGUUAUGGGAAAUCAAUUCAGUUUUGACAGGCUAGGUGGCCUGAGGGUGUUAUUAGUCACCUGAACGUACUGGUUGUGUUUACAUGAGUUACUGGAUGAACUUAUGGGGUGUGGGUGUAAUAAGGUAUGGAGGUGCGGCUGGUAGCAAGAAAAGAAACAUUUAAAACUGAGGAAUACUGGACAGAUGCUGGGAAGGCUGACUGGUAUCCUGGUUGGUGUCACUGGGAUGAAGGCAAAUCUGUGGUGGGACUGAAAUGUGUCUGGGUGAAGGGCACUGGACGAAAAUGAUGCUAUAAGAACAUGAGAUGAUGGUAUUUGGAGCCACUUUGAGUGAGGCAAUUACAACAGAAGAGGAGGAAUAUCUUGUGCCAAUCAGUUGAGGAGAUGUUAAGGAACACAAUCUUAAGGAAAGGGAUGGAAGGAGAUCUAAAAACUCCUUGGUGCUAUAAGUAGAAGCUGUUACAACUUGGGGAUGAAACAUGAUAGCCGGUCGCCGAAAUUAUGCAAAGGUCAACAUGAUCGCCGGUCGGUGAAACGGCGAUCUCAAUGUGUGCGUAGUCGGUGGUCGCCGAAGGUAUCCAAAGGUCAACAUGAUCGCCGGUUGAUGAAGCGGCGUUUUCCAUGUCAACAUGAUCGCCGAUCAAUGAAGUGGCGUUCUCCAUAUGUGUGUAGUCGGUGGUCGCCGAAGUUAGACAAGGUCAACAUGAUCGCCGAUCGAUGAAAUGGCGAUCUCCAUGCAUGCGUAGUCGGUGGUCGUCGAAGUUAUGCAAAGGUUAACAUGAUCGCCGGUCGAUGAAACGGCGAUCUCCAUGCGUGCGUAGUCGGUGGUCGUCGAAGUCAUGCAAAGGUCAACAUGAUAGCCGGUCGAGGAAGCGGCGUUCUCCAUAUGUGUGUAGUCGGUGGCUGCCGAAGUUAUGCAAUGUGCAUGGGUAACUCGUCGCGUGGCGAGGUGAAUGUAGGUGGCCUCGGUUCUGGGUGUUUCAGUAAAGCUGAAUGAUGCUAUGAGGUAACCUGUUGGUUAUAUUUUUGGGUAUGGUUCUCUCACUUUAAGGUUGUUCUGCUCCAACCAUAAAGGAGAGUUUCUUUUGUGGAUGAAAUAGGAAGUCCACUUCUGGUUACUGUAUAUGGGUUGGGAUACCCCUGAAGUAUCCCUUUAAUUCUAUUUAUUCAUUGCUGAUAAAAUAUAUAUAUAUAUAUAUAUAUAUAAAAUUUGUAUUCUUCCAUUGUUUUUAUUUUGGAAUAUUAUUGGGGCGGAUAAAGGAGUUGUCUCAUAGUAGCCUUUUAUUAAUCAGCCAAUAUUAAUAUAUAUUAAUUAGUAUUAGAGGUACCAAAAGAAAAUAUAAAACAAACUGUGUGGGUUGAAACAUCCAUACAUAUCAGACUUAUAAAGCUCAUCAUUGUACUGCCAAAAAUAUCUUUAAUAAUCAAAAUUUCAUUACUGUAUAUCAUUACAAAAUUCAAACCUUGGAGAGCAAGUUGUCCAUGUCACAUCUACAACUUCAUCUCAAGCUUCACCAUUCACUUCAUCACAAACACCUAUUCCUUUGCCCUCCCCUAACAUUUGUGCCUGUUCCUUCAUCUUUAUUUGACAUGCACUGAUUAACCUAUCUGCAUCAACAACCACCUCUUCCCACGUGAUACUUUAUACAAACACCAUUUUCGUUCAAUGCGCGUGAAAUUAUUAUUUUUCCAAUUCCCAAUAAGAAAUUUACAGGUGUUUAAUUUUUUUUAAGUAACUUGUUUUCAUUGAAACAUCAAAUUCCAUUUGUCCACCUCUCUGGUCCUAUAAAUAUAUAUAUAUAUAUUANNNNNNNNNNNNNNNNNNNNNNNNNNNNNNNNNNNNNNNNNNNNNNNNNNNNNNNNNNNNNNNNNNNNNNNNNNNNNNNNNNNNNNNNNNNNNNNNNNNNACAGGUGAUCAAACUUCUCAGUGAGAAGUUAGAGAAUAGAAAUGUUUAUUUUAUUUUUAAAUAUUUCUUUUAAACCUUUGUGUAUAUUUUUAAAAUCCCUAUGAAGAAUGAUAUAUUUUGAAACCUUGUAUGAAAAACUUAUAUAUUUCAGAUUUUGGUUAUUAGAAGUGACAAAAUAUAGGGAUGUUAUAGUAACUAAAUAUUUUGGUCUCUAAAAUUAGUUUUUAUUUAAUUAUUUUUUUGUAGUGACACUUUAGAGACUAAUAUAUAUAUAUAUAUAUAUAUAUAUAUAUAUAUAUAUAUAUAUAUAUAUAUAUAUAUAUAUAUAUAUAUGCAUAUAUCUUCUUCUCACCCUAUCUACUAAACUCACUCUCAUUUACCUAUUUAAGAUGCAAGAUCCGCUCACUCCCAGUUUCCUUAUCAAACUUCUCUUAAUCGUCUUCUUAUUGGCUAUUUUCAUGUGGCUGUUCAUAUAUCUAACAAGGUAUGAAUACCCUAUUUUCAUACUUUCAUUCUGUGUUGAAAAGUUAAAACAAGAACCAAAUCUCUUCUACUUCCUUCAUUCUAACUCUUUUAAGUUACUUGUGUAGAUAAGCUAGAAUUUAGAUAAUUGGAGAGGAAAUUCUCCUAAUUAUAUCAGUUCAUGUAUAUUCACAAAAUUAUUUAUUCAUGGAAUAACAGGCCUCUACCUAAUAAAUGGUUUCAGUCUCAAAGCAUAAUCCCAGCAAACAGGCUCUAAUUCAAAUUGUAGAUCCCGAAUUUUUGUUUGGAUACUUUUUUUAUGCUACUAUGAGUCGUAAUAAAAGUAGAAGAUAAAUGAGUUGGAUGUUUCUUAUAAGUUCAAAUUAGGUUUGCAUUAAUAGCUUGAGCUUAACAUAAAGUAAAUUUUGCAUGCAGAGGCGGAGAGAUACGUAGAGGAGGUAUAUCUAACGCAUUCAUUAAUGAUGAUGAAGGUCACCAAAACGCUUUUAUGGCAGACAUCCAAGCUUCAGAGAUUGACAAUGCGUUCAAUAACAAAAAAAAGGGUCAACAAUUUUUUCCAGGGCUUAGAGUUACUAGGUAUAUUCCAAAAGAAUCUUUGCUCUUCUUAGACUUUUACCAUGUUAAAUUCACAUCUAUUCUAUUUUAUAGGGUAUUGCCUUUUUUCAUUUUUGCAUUCCAAAUAUUUCAGAUAAAUUUCCAAAAGUCACCAGGUACAUUUAGUCAACAUUGUUGUUGAUUAGUUUAAAGGUGAAUUUUCAACAUGAGAUAAUUGGUAGGAGUAAAAGUGCAUGGAAUGUGGCAGACAAUGACAACGAAAUGUAUGUAUUGUAAGAUUGGUCAGAUGUCUUUCAAAUAUUUAGUUAUAUUAUUGGAGCAAAUACGGAUGAAAAUUAAUCUAGUGUAGGAUAUUUUUCACAUUUCACCGAUUGAUUAAUAAAACAGAAAACAUUUAGAAUUAUAAAGAGAUUCAUCGUUUUGAAUUAGAAACUCAAUAGAAAAAUAUUUAGAAUGAACUUACUCCAAGAUUAAUUCCAUCUUAUAAAACUUUGUUUAAAAUUUAGAGUUUAUUUUAAC
rnacentral:lncRNA from 1 species